UUUCAAAAACCCAAUUUUUUUAAUGGGUUGGAUAUAUUCUCCAAAUUUUAAACUACUGGAAGGAGUUUUUCCGGGUAUUAAUCUUUUAUUUUUAAAUUGGGGAGCCAGGUUCCCAUUCCAUUGUUUUUUUUCAUCAAGGGGGAAAAAAAUUCAUCUGGUUUAAACCUUUUUCCCUGAAACCCCAAUAUCCUUCCGGGGGUAAAUCCGACUCCACUAAAGGGAGGAGCGCCCCCCAAUUUCUUCGGAUGGCUUCGAGUUUUUCACCAAGAUUGGGCUCAGAACGAACGCGGGCGGGCUUCUUUAACACUUCCAGUUCGAGCGAGAAAGGGGGGCAAACUCCCGGAAAAGAGCGGCGCACGGGUGAGUAACGCGUGGGUAACCACCCCCCGGGCGGGGGAUAACUACUCGAAAGGGUGGCUAAUACCGCUUAAGACCACGGGAUCCACGGAUCCUGCGGCCAAAGAUUGCACCGGCUUGCCGGUGCCGUCACCUGGGGAUGGGCCCGCGUCCGAUUAGCUAGUUGGUGAGGUAACGGCCCACCAAGGGUAAGAUCGGUAGCUGGUCUGAGAGGAUGGCCAGCCACACUGGAACUGAAACACGGUGGAGACUCCUACGGGAGGUCGNAGUGGGUAGUUCUAGAAAUCUCCUACAAAUAUCAGG
rnacentral:sRNA from 1 species